UCCAGGCUGUAAUGGCAAGCCGUGUUAUUCGCGCCUGCGCAGUACCCGAAAAUUCAAGAUGGAUAAAGACCUAUUAAAACCGUCACGGAGAGCGCUUGACAUUAAACUGACAUCUCCCAGAGUAAAGGUGUCAGUUUUGAUCUCUCUCCAUCUGCAGAGGAAUCUACAGCUUCCACAACCUUUCAACUGAAGAUCACUCCAGUGUCCACUGCAACAUCCAACAUGAAGAAUAUUCUGGGACUCCUACUUCUCGGCCUGCUCUUUGUAGCUCUCCAGAAGGAGUAAAACCUGGCAAGGCAACCUGCAAGAGUCUAGGAGGUUACUGUUUUCGAAUGAGUGGACGACGCAACUGCACUGGCCGAGUAGAAGAUUCUGCGACUUGUAAGGUCGCCGGACGCAAAUGCUGUAUUCCUACUGUUACUACUUUUACUACUUUUGCUGAAUAUUAAGAAGAACACUGAGACCAUAUUCAUCCUGAUUGCCUGCUGAUGACUAUCAAUUACAACGAAGAAGCUUCCGCGGGUGCAGUUCUUCACUUUCACUGCUGUCCAUCGGUUCCUUUUGCCUAAAAUAAAUAAUGCCUUAUUUCAUAUCCUUCUUUACUUUCCUUAGUUUGUCACACAGUAGUUUUCAUUUCUGAAACGCCAUAGGACUUAGAAAUAACUCCUGGGUCUAAAUCAACAUUUGUAAAUGCUACUGCAAGAUGUUAUUGUAACUGGUCUCAAAAUAAAUUUGGUUUUCACUUCAACAA